rnacentral:rRNA from 1 species
GAUGAACGCUGGCGGCGUGCCUAAUACAUGCAAGUCGAGCGAACGGACGAGAAGCUUGCUUCUCUGAUGUUAGCGGCGGACGGGUGAGUAACACGUGGAUAACCUACCUAUAAGACUGGGAUAACUUCGGGAAACCGGAGCUAAUACCGGAUGAUAUUUUGAACCGCAUGGUUCAAAAGUGAAAGACGGUCUUGCUGUCACUUAUAGAUGGAUCCGCGCUGCAUUAGCUAGUUGGUAAGGUAACGGCUUACCAAGGCAACGAUGCAUAGCCGACCUGAGAGGGGGAACGGCCACACUGGAACUGGGACACGGUCCAGACUCCUAGGGGAGGCAGCAGUAGGGAAUCUUCCGAAAUGGGCGAAAGCCUGACGGGGCAACGCCGGGGGAGUGAUGAAGGUCUUCGGACCGUAAAACUCUGUUAUUAGGGAAGAAAAUAUGUGUAAGUAACUGUGCACAUCUUGACGGUACCUAAUCAGAAAGCCCCGGCUAACUACG